rnacentral:rRNA from 1 species
AAGGCGAAACCGCGAAUGGCUCAUUAAAUCAGUUAUGGUUCAUUUGAACGUACGCCCGUACUUGGAUACCCGUGGCAAUUCUAGAGCUAAUACAUGCAGCAGAGCUCCCACCCCUUCGGGGGACGAGCGCUUUUAUUAGAUCAAAACCGACCGGGCCUCGUGCUCGCAAACGGUGAUGACUCUGGAUAACCUUGGGCCGAUCGCACGGGCUCGACCCGGCGACGUAUCUUUCGAGUGUCUGCCUUAUCAACUAGAUGGUAGGCCACGUGCCCACCAUGGUUGUAACGGGUGACGGGGAAUCAGGGUUCGAUUCCGGAGAGGGAGCCUGAGAAACGGCUACCACAUCCAAGGAAGGCAGCAGGCACGCAAAUUACCCACUCCCGGCACGGGGAGGUAGUGACGAAAAAUAACGAUACGGGACUCUUUUGAGACCCCGUAAUUGGAAUGAGUGCGCAACAAAUCCUCAUGCGAGGAUCCAUCGGAGGGAAAGUCUGGUGCCAGCAGCCGCGGUAAUUCCAGCUCCGAUAGCGUAUAUUAAAGUUGCUGCGGUUAAAAAGCUCGUAGUUGGAUCUCAGUUCCAGACGGGUGGUCCGCCUCACCGGCGGUAACUACACGUUCUGAACAGCCAGCCGGUUUCCCUCGAUGAUCUUCACCGGUUGUCUUGGGUGACCGGCAAGUUUACUUUGAAAAAAUUAGAGUGCUCAAAGCAGGCGUGACGCCUGGAUAGAUGGUGCAUGGAAUAAUGGAAUAGGACCUCGGUUCUAUUUUGUUGGUUUUCGGAUCACGAGGUAAUGAUUAAGAGGAACUGCCGGGGGCAUUCGUAUUGCGGCGCUAGAGGUGAAAUUCUUGGACCGCCGCAAGACGAACUACAGCGAAAGCAUUUGCCAAGAAUGUUUCCAUUAAUCAAGAACGAAAGUCAGAGGUUCGAAGGCGAUCAGAUACCGCCCUAGUUCUGACCCUAAACGAUGCCAGCCAGCGAUCCGGCUGUGUUCCUCAAAUGACACGCCGGGCAGCUUCCGGGAAACCAAAGCUUUUGGGUUCCGGGGGAAGUAUGGUUGCAAAGCUUAAACUUAAAGGAAUUGACGGAAGGGCACUACCAGGAUUGGAGCCUGCGGCUUAAUUUGACUCAACACGGGGAACCUCACCCGGCCCGGACACAGGAAGGAUUGACAGAUUAAUAGCUCUUUCUUGAUUCUGUGGGUGGUGGUGCAUGGCCGUCCAUAGUUGGUGGAGUGAUUUGUCUGGUUUAUUCCGAUAACGAACGAGGCUCUAACCUACUAAAUAGACGGUUCCGAUCCUCUGCGUCGGCCGUUUCUUCUUAGAGGGACAAGCGGCGUCUAGCCGCGCGACAAAGAGCGAUGACAGGUCUGUGAUGCCCCUAGAUGUCCGGGGCCGCACGCGCGCUACAUUGAAGGAGUCAGCGUGUGUUUCCCCUGCCCGGCAGGGCUGGGUAACCCGAUGAACCUCCUUCGUGCUAGGGAUUGGGGACUGCAAUUUUCCCCCAUGAACGAGGAAUUCCUAGUAAGCGCGAAUCAUCAUUUCGUGCUGAUUACGUCCCUGCCCUUUGUGCACACCGCCCGUCGCUACUACCGAUGAACGGCUUAGUGAGGUCAUCGGACUGGCUCUCGGACCGACCCCCGGGUCGGCGCCGGCGUGCCGGAAAGACGACCGAACUUGAUCGUUUAGAGG